rnacentral:lncRNA from 1 species
AAACCGAAUACUUCGGUAUUUUUCGGGAUUACCAAACAAAUGGGAUUUGGAAACCAAUCCCAUAUCGAAAAUUUUGGUAUUUUUCGGGAUGGGAUUCCCGAACUUCAGGAUGGUUUUGGUUUGGGAUUUUUCGGUUUAGGUUUGGGACUUUUUCGGUUUGGUUUGGGAUUUUCCGGAAUUUUUUCCAGCCCUACCAUGUAAGUGACCAAAUAAAAAAUAGAAAAAUUAAAAACCACAUGCCAUUGACUAAGUAAUUAAUUGACACAAUUUAAAAUAUAUUACCACAAAAAAUUUGGAAUAUGUGCAAAUUUGUUUCUUGUAAAAAGAAUUCAAAACAAAACCAUAUAUAUAAAUAUUGUAGCAUAUUAUCACAACAACAUAAGUGGUAUAGUGGUUAAGGCGUUAAGGAGUUAAGUGGGAGGGGUUCGAACCCCUCUAUGCUCAAAAUUGAGACUUUUCCAAAUUUUCAGGAAUUUUUGGACUAAUAUCGCAAUAAUAUCAAUAAUAUCGCGAUAUUUUGACGAAAACUCAUUGGAUACUCAUUAAAAUAUCGGUAACUCAAAAAAACGAAAAUAUCGGCGAUAUUUC